UACAGAGAAGACCAUUAAUGACCUCACGUCUAUUCCUAACCACCUUUCCUUGACCUCUGUGGAAAACGUCAAACUGUCAAGGAAAGGUGAUUAGGAGAGUUCAUGAGGAGUUAGGAAAAGAUAGCGUGGUGUUCAGGGAAUCCAACUCCACUAAGCUACGUAAUUCUGGUGGACGUGGACGUCUGGUGGAUUGGUAUAAUUAAUGUGGACUUUUUGGAGUUAUCGAUUAACAGAAAUAUUCUGACAUAAAGUACUGACUGUUUACAGGAUGCUCUGUAUAUACAAACCAUAAACUUUUUGACUGCUCUAUAUUCAAACCACUAGAGUUCAGUUUGUAGUUAAUAUUCCAGAAAUCGACAUAUUCAGGAAGUGAUAGAAUAUGAAGAAGACCAUCUUUAUUUUGAAGAGAAGACGACACUUUGUUAUUUGGCAUAAAGAGAAUACAAAUAAAUGAAGUACGUAUUAUACCAAAAUAUCAAAUGUAAAAUAAUGUAACUUGAGAUAAUAAACUCCAGAAGGUUCCUUCAGGCUUCCAGACACAUGCAGCAGUGAUGUCCUCAGGUCAGGUGACCUCUCAGCCAAUCCCAGCAGGCUAGGAAUCAGAAUGCGUCCUAAAUAUGAUGUGAUGAUAUCUCCUCCUGGUGUGUGUGAUGUAUUAGCGAGGUUAUUGAUCAGGGAAACGUUAGUGGUUAGUGGACUCCUUCCUCCUGACCCCUCAUGAUGUUUGCUGAGCUGUCAGACGUCAUCCUCUUCCACUUCCUCCUCCUUCCUGGUGAAAGCAGAGGACAGCUCCUGCAGCAGGAGCUCCUGUGAUGGUGUACACACUCCUUGCAGCUGCUCCUUCCUCCUCCCAGCUGCGGAGCUGCAGUCAGCUCCUGUUCCUCCUCCUCCUCCUCUGCUCUGAUCCAGAGAGUCCACCAUGGCGCCGGCGGUCUGAGCCACCUCUGGGAUGAUGGUGCGGCUCGAGUGUCCGGUCUCCAUGGGAACCAGCCGGAGGUCCGGGACCUCCUGGGUCUCCGCGGUGCUGCUGGACAGGAAACUGGUCUCCAAUGAUUUGAGAACUUGAAGGCCAAAGUCCCCGACCUCCUCGUAGAGCGGCUCGGGGAGACCAGGAGACUGGGAGCGCUCCUCGAAGGAGUCCUUCUGCACCUUCAUGGGCUGGAGGUCAGCAGAGACAUGUAGACAUGCUGCUGUUGCUCUCGUCUCCUCUGAUGGGGACGAGCGGCAUCGUGCCAAACUUGUGCUUGGAGAUGUCCGAGGACAAGUGACGUCUCAGAACCGGAGGACCAGGGUCAUCAUUCUGAAAGACAAAGAGACACGUGAGGAUGGGUUCUAAAGAGACAGCAGGACACGUGAGGACGCUGACACUGCAUCAGCUCCCCACAGUUAUUCUGACCUGAG
ensembl:lncRNA